rnacentral:lncRNA from 1 species
UAUCACCGCUUCAUAUCAUUAAAAGUUAACAUUAAUAUUGUAUUUUCUAAAGAAUAACUAUUUCCUUAUCUUCAAUAUUAAAUAAUUUGUAUAAAUUUUCUUGUUUUGUUCUCACCAUUCCUACGUCGAACCUCUCCAUUAACAUACACAUACACCAUAGCCAAUUCCUUCUCUUCAUCAACAUUCUUGUUAAUAUUUCUCAAAGGAAUCUCAGAAAUAAUUUAUACACGUGGAAUCUACGCAUCUUCACGGUACGUAAUCAUUCUUGAUGCGUGUUAGUAAUUUCUUUAUGCAUCAUCAACAUGGCUUCAACUAUACAUUAAUCAUCAAACGCGAAUUUUCAAUUUCUAUAAGCUCUUUUUAACUUUUUAAUCUCUUUUUCCGGUUAGCUUUUCACUUUACUCACGUCAUUCAAAAUUUUAAAUGUCCUUUUUCAAUUAAGAAUUACAAUUGCAUUUUGGUUUUUUAAGUUCAACUUUUUCAGCCUUGUAAGCUAUUGUUAAGUUAAUAAUAAUCAUAAAUUAAUAUAUAAUUAGUAGUAUUAAUUUUGUUUAAUUAUUUUCUCUGCUAGCUUAUGUCGGCUAAUAAAUUACUUUCUCUGUUAAUUUAAUUUGUUUAAACGUCAUAAUAUUAGUUCCAAUUUUGUGUUUUAUUUAUUUGAUUGUAUUAUGAUUGAUGUAUGAAUUAAGUGAAAUGUGUGUUUGAAUUCUCCGCAUCAAUGUUUUCAUGCAGCAGAAAAAACAAAAUUGAAAUAAAAUGG